AUGGCUCACAGGAUGGAAGAAAGAGAAAUUAAAUGGAGGCAGCUUGCCAGGUGAACUCAGUGAGAACCGUGCCAUUGCCACAGCAGGUGAGCUGGGUGCUUCUGCAAGCCAAGGGCUGUGUUUGACUCAUGGGAUUACAGACACUUGGCCAAAAAACUGAUGAAUUGCCUCAGGUGUGGAGCUGAAUCCCAGAUACCACAGUACAUUCUGCCCCUCACUGCCUUGGCUCUGUCCUUUGGGUCACUUCAGUUUCAGCACAGGCAUUUUAGAUCCUGUACUUGUGGAAGCUGUCCCAUCAGGCUGGAUGACUCCUAAAUCCCUGUAGCCUCUCUGCAUUCUGCAACCCAGAUUUAACUCUAUGAGCCUUCCUGCUGUCUGAAGCCAGAAGUUUCCAAGUUGAGUGCUACAGAGGCCUGCCGUCACCCAUGGGCUGUUUUGGCUGAGUCAGAUGCACCUCCCAAUGAGUGCCUUCAGUGGUUGGAAAGGAAACUUCUGGAGCUGGCUCAGGGGGCCACCACACACUCCUCGUUUCGGUAUCUCCCUAUCAAGAAUGGACACCUAGAACCAGUACCCAGCCAUCUCCAGUAAUUCAGUGAGCAAUUCGGUGUCUUCUCAGGGCAGACCAGCCCAACAAAAAAAAAGGCAGAUCAGUGCUGGUUGUCACUUAGUAUAGUUCUGAUCAGCUUUAUCCUGAUCUUCAUAGGGAAGAAUGAAACAGUAGGAAGCUUCCAGUGCUUUUUGUUUGUUUGUUAUUUUAGAAUCCCUGUGAGAAAAAAAGACUCUGUUCCAAAACAACUUGUGUUUCUGGAAUGAGAGCAAACACUGGACUCCAGAGGCUCAAUGGCCUCAUCCAUAUGGAUCCAAUUCUCUAUAAAAGGUUGAUAAAACUGCUUCUUGUAUUUGUGAAUCUGAAGGCUACAGCUCUUCACAUGGAAUCUGAGAAGAUUCCAUGUGAAGCACCUAAGCCCUCAGGGUGCUAGAGGUUUAUUAAAGCAUUAUUAUUAUCUAGAGGUUUAUUAAUGCAUUUACACCUACCCAGCCUCUCCUUCAGUCUCACCUUUCUUCCUGGGAUGCUGCAUUUCUUCCCGGUUCUCUUCUGAGCAUCAACCCAAAUUUGGAUGUGAACUCAGUGACAGAUAUCACAGGGCACAGGAAACAAUUAUAAGGAGCAGAACUAUCCAAUAUACACAGCAGGAACAGCUCUGUGAUUCAGAGUCCUUAUUAUGGAUCAGAGCUCGUAAGAUUCAAAGCCUGUAUAGACCAUCAGAGAUGGUGUGGGCUCUGUGUUUCUUCUGAAACACACCCUGAUAAGUAGAAAAAUACACAUCUGGCAUAGAAAACAAUGUCUUUAGCCCUUGCUAGCCUGGGAUGGAUCACUGUAGUAGAAAGAACGGUGUCUGGGUUAAAGUGCAGCACGCUAGCCCAGAGAGUUUAACAUCUGGCAACAGAUGACUUGAUUAAGACUAGUGGUGGUGGAGCUCCAGGGCUGGCUGAACUAAUUGCCUCUCAGCCCUGAAAAUGCACUCCAGCCAUUUUUGGAAAAUUAACUUCUGUGCCCAUGGGAAUGCUCUCACUCCCUUGUACACUGGUGAAACAGCCUUCAUAGGCAAAAGGGUUCAUCAGGGAGGCUGCAGCGAAUUAUGAAAGCUGUUUAUGACCAAAGCCAUUGCCUUCCCAAAAGCAGAAUUGCCCUGAAUCCUCGGGAAGUCCCCAGUGCUGUGGAAAUGUAUCUGGCCAGGCUGCUCUCUACUGCACUGAUUCCCUGCCAGCUCUGCAGUGCAAGAGCCGGGGGCUGCAUUUUUCACCUACUUUACUGAUUCUGCUACUGCUCCCAGUGCAGGAACUAGCCUCUCCUGUGACCACUUCCUUGAGACAUGCAGAAUCAUUACUCAAAUCUGCUUGCUGAUGCAUGGUUUGCACCAAAACCAGUGCUUCUUGACCAGAAAAAUAGUCAAGAAGACUGAUAACUGGAGCAGCAGUCCCUCCUCUGUGCAAACAUUGCUGUUUGUUGUUUUCCCUGCUUUUUGCCAUCAGAGGUUCGCAUAUCUCACUGCCCAGCCCAGCAACUCAUCACUACCAUGAUAAGUUUGUGAGGCCCAUCAAAGCUGUGGGAUUAGGGCUGUCACAAGCCACCAGCUUCCCACUGCAUGCUCCCCCAACUUCAGUGACAAAUCUGCAGCAGCAACGACCCAAUUUUGUCUCUCUCCACCACUCAACCUUAGACAAGAGUGUGGGAUUUAUUAUGCUGGGACUUGUGCUCCUAAGCGUGAGGAUGUUGCUGUUAUCAGCAGUUGACAUGCCAUCAAGAAAACAUUGCUGUCAAAGUGAGAAGCCAGUGGUUAGCAUUUCCCCAAACCCCUGUUUGUUUGUAAGCAGCAGAAAGAGUGCAC